GCCUGGCUGGCUCAGUCAGUAGAGCAGUUUGACUCUUAAUCUCAGGGUUGUGAGUUCAAGCCCCACGCUGGGCA
rnacentral:tRNA from 1 species